rnacentral:lncRNA from 1 species
CAUUUAGAGGUUGGGAAGAGGAGGAAGUAUCAGCAAAAAGACUUAGAAGGAAUUCCUAGAAUGAUAGGAGGAAAAGUAGUCCAUCACAAUGAUCUGGAAGCCCCAAAGAAGAAAGUUUUCAAGGACGAAAAAGUAACUCUUAACACUUUUGUGCUAUGCAUAACAUUUUCCCUCAUUUGUUUCCUGACUAGUGAUGAGCCCUCCUCUUCAGCUAGGAAAAUGACGGUGUUCAGAAAGUUAAAACUUCUUCGCUGGAAGGAUUUCAUCUUAAAGUUGGGAGACUGGAAGAAAUUAAAGUGUUCUAAAUGGAAGAGCAUUCACCACAUGUGUUCUGUUUUGGGUUGACAUUUAGCUUUUGUUUUUAUUUUAGAAACGGAAGACUCUGGUAGCAGUCCUUGAAAUCUUGAUGCCAUUGCUAUUUUCUGCAUUGUAUUGUAUCUUCGUUUUAGUAGUGCUCCAAUA